ACGGGUGAGUAACACGUGGGUAACCUGCCCAAGAGACUGGGAUAACACCUGGAAACAGAUGCUAAUACCGGAUAACAACACUAGACGCAUGUCUAGAGUUUAAAAGAUGGUUCUGCUAUCACUCUUGGAGGGACCUGCGGUGCAUUAGCUAGUUGGUAAGGUAACGGCUUACCAAGGCAAUGAUGCAUAGCCGAGUUGAGAGACUGAUCGGCCACAUUGGGACUGAGACACGGCCCAAACUCCUACGGGAGGCAGCAGUAGGAAAUCUUCCACAAUGGACGCAAGUCUGAUGGAGCAACGCCGCGUGAGUGAAGAAGGGUUUCGGCUCGUAAAGCUCUGUUGGUAGUGAAGAAAGAUAGAGGUAGUAACUGGCCUUUAUUUGACGGUAAUUACCUAGAAAGUCACGGCUAACUACGUGCCAGCAGCCGCGGUAAUACGUAGGUGGCAAGCGUUGUCCGGAUUUAUUGGGCGUAAAGCGAGUGCAGGCGGUUCAAUAAGUCUGAUGUGAAAGCCUUCGGCUCAACCGGAGAAUUGCAUCAGAAACUGUUGAACUUGAGUGCAGAAGAGGAGAGUGGAACUCCAUGUGUAGCGGUGGAAUGCGUAGAUAUAUGGAAGAACACCAGUGGCGAAGGCGGCUCUCUGGUCUGCAACUGACGCUGAGGCUCGAAAGCAUGGGUAGCGAACAGGAUUAGAUACCCUGGUAGUCCAUGCCGUAAACGAUGAGUGCUAAGUGUUGGGAGGUUUCCGCCUCUCAGUGCUGCAGCUAACG
rnacentral:rRNA from 1 species